rnacentral:rRNA from 1 species
GCCCAGACUCCUACGGGAGGCAGCAGUGAGGAAUAUUGGUCAAUGGCCGAGAGGCUGAACCAGCCAAGUCGCGUGAGGGAAGAAUGUCCUAAGGAUUGUAAACCUCUUUUGUCGGGGAGCAAAGCGAGUCACGUGUGACUCAUUGAGAGUACCCGAAGAAAAAGCAUCGGCUAACUCCGUGCCAGCAGCCGCGGUAAUACGGAGGAUGCGAGCGUUAUCCGGAUUUAUUGGGUUUAAAGGGUGCGCAGGCGGAGGUGCAAGUCAGCGGUAAAAAUUCGGGGCUCAACCCCGUCGUGCCGUUGAAACUGAUGUUCUUGAGUGGGCGAGAAGUAUGCGGAAUGCGUGGUGUAGCGGUGAAAUGCAUAGAUAUCACGCAGAACUCCGAUUGCGAAGGCAGCAUACCGGCGCCCAACUGACGCUGAAGCACGAAAGCGUGGGUAUCGAACAGGAUUAGAUACCCUCGUAC